GAUGAACGCUAGCGGGAGGCCUAACACAUGCAAGCCGAGCGGUAUUGUUUCUUCGGAAAUGAGAGAGCGGCGUACGGGUGCGUAACACGUGUGCAACCUGCCUUUAUCUGGGGGAUAGCCUUUCGAAAGGAAGAUUAAUACUCCAUAAUAUAUUGAACGGCAUCGUUUAAUAUUGAAAGCUCCGGCGGAUAGAGAUGGGCACGCGCAAGAUUAGCUAGUUGGUGAGGUAACGGCUCACCAAGGCGAUGAUCUUUAGGGGGCCUGAGAGGGUGAUCCCCCACACUGGUACUGAGACACGGACCAGACUCCUACGGGAGGCAGCAGUGAGGAAUAUUGGUCAAUGGGUGCAAGCCUGAACCAGCCAUCCCGCGUGAAGGACGACUGCCCUAUGGGUGGUAAACUUCUUUUGGAUAGGGAUAAACCUACCCUCGUGAGGGUAGCUGAAGGUACUAUACGAAUAAGCACCGGCUAACUCCGUG
rnacentral:rRNA from 1 species